CGCCUAGGAGGCAAGGGGAGCUGUCCUCCCUCCUCUGGCAUGGAGGAGCACAACUCGGGAGGAGCAGAGGGCAACUUGGGGCCGGAGGCAUCUGCAGCUACCUGUCCCAGGCACCCCAGAGUCUCUCGGGGUAUGCUGAUGAUGGUGACAGGCUCAAGUUGAAGCUGCAGGAGGAACUUUUUGCUGCUUUUAAGCAGCCCAGGCCUGGGACAGGUUCAGACAGAAGCCCAGGCUCUGAGCGCUGGGUGGGAGUCAGGGGGGCUGUGUUACAGAACAGCAAUAGGAAGAGCUCCGAGCUUGGAAUUCACACACAUGCCUGGAUCCUGGCUCCUAUGUGAAAGGCUGGGUGACCUUGGCCAGGUGGAUGCCCAUGAGAGACGUGCACAUAUGCUCACCAGUUAGGAGAUUUGUCACAGUGCUGCUUCAUGACAGCCACAGAUUGGAAUGCCCACUAACAGGAGAAUGGACAAAUUAAUCAUAGCAGAGCCACACCAUGGAAUAUCACACGGCAAUGAGAAUGUGUGCACCACAGCCAUUUGCAGCAAUGCAGAAGCAUCUCCCAGUCAGCAUGCUGAGGGAAGACGCCAGACCCAAAAAGAGCACAGCCAGCCUGAUUCCAUGUAUGGGAAGUUCAGAACCAGGCAAAACUAC
rnacentral:lncRNA from 1 species